UUCAAAAUCUGUAUUCUUUCUUUCGCCUACUUUCUCUCAAAACAAUUCUAUAUUGUUUUUCUUAUAUAUUUUAUUUAUACAUAUAAUAAUAAGGCUCUACCUUGUUUUAAGUAUUUUAAACUCCCAAUCACCGCUACCCAUUUUCCGUUUGAUCUGAGCCUCAGGGCUCUGCCCGACUAAGUUGUUGGGAUUUGGUCUCGGGACUUCGGGACAAGGUUGAUUUAGGGGUACUAUACUUACCACGAGUGCAAUAUAUAUUUUUAAUAGCCCAAAAGUUAUACCCAAAAUUUAUACCAGGAAAUUUUCUAGUUGAAACCUAAAGUUACAAAGUGGGUCCAUUCUCUUUUCUCACUAUUUUAUUCUCUUUUUGUAAUUUACCCAAAACUAUUAUUUAUUAUUCUAUUCUCAUCAAAAGGUUAUACUUUGUCGUUCGUCGUUAAUUCGAUGGAUGUUUAAGUAUCUAUCGCACUUUGUCGUUCGUUGUGAGAAUUUGAUCUCGUGAGUUAUCGUAAUUGUUGUAUUAAGUUACCUACCUAGUUCGUAUGCACUAGGUUACAAGGCUAAAUCAAUAGGCUAAGCUCUGCCUGUGUAAAUCUGCAAUAUAUCAAGGCUUAUCUGUAGACUAAACUUUGGCCGUAUGAAUCUGCAUGAUUAUAAUGUGAGUCAUUCUCUUUUUAUCAACUGUUUUACAAUACUCCAAAUUAUUUUCAGAAUUAUAAAUUACAGUGAUUAAGUUUAUGUAAUCACCAAAUUACAGCCAGU
rnacentral:lncRNA from 1 species